rnacentral:rRNA from 1 species
AACGAACGCUGGCGGCAUGCCUAACACAUGCAAGUCGAACGAGACCUUCGGGUCUAGUGGCGCACGGGUGCGUAACGCGUGGGAACCUGCCCUUAGGUUCGGAAUAACUCCCCGAAGGGGGUGCUAAAACCGAAUAAUUUCUUGGAACAAAGAUUUAUUGCCUUUGGAUGGGCCCGCGUUGGAUUAGCUAGUUGGUAGGGUAAAAGCCUACCAAGGCGACGAUCCAUAGCUGGUCUGAGAGGAUGAUCAGCCACACUGGGACUGAGACACGGCCCAGACUCCUACGGGAGGCAGCAGUGGGGAAUAUUGGACAAUGGGCGAAAGCCUGAUCCAGCAAUGCCGCGUGAGUGAUGAAGGCCUUAGGGUUGUAAAGCUCUUUUACCCGGGAUGAUAAUGACAGUACCGGGAGAAUAAGCUCCGGCUAACUCCGUG